UACGUAGGGUGCAAGCGUUGUCCGGAAUCAUUGGGCGUAAAGCGCGUGUAGGCGGCUCGAUAAGUCUGCUGUGAAAGUUCAGGGCUCAACCCUGAAAUGCCGGUGGAAACUGUCGAGCUAGAGUCCGGAAGAGGCGAGUGGAAUUCCUGGUGUAGCGGUGAAAUGCGCAGAUAUCAGGAGGAACACCAAUGGCGAAGGCAGCUCGCUGGGACGGUACUGACGCUGGAGACGCGAAAGCGUGGGGAGCAAACAGG
rnacentral:rRNA from 1 species